AUGGCGACUUACCAAACCAAGGCAAACUCCGAAUACCUGCAAGUACAGCUUGGGAGACAGAGCACCGGGUGCUAACGUCCGGACUCAAGAGGGAAACAACCCAGACCGCCAGCUAAGGUCCCUAAAAUUGGCUAAGUGGGAAACGAAGUGGGAAGGCAUAGACAGUCAGGAGGUUGGCUUAGAAGCAGCCAUCCUUUAAAGAAAGCGUAAUAGCUCACUGAUCGAGUCGUCCUGCGCGGAAGAUGUAACGGGGCUAAGCCAGUUACCGAAGCUGCGGGUGUGUACUAUGUACACGCGGUAGGAGAGCGUUCUGUAAGCCUGCGAAGGUGUCUCGAGAGGGAUGCUGGAGGUAUCAGAAGUGCGAAUGCUGACAUGAGUAGCGAUAAAGGGGGUGAAAAGCCCCCUCGCCGUAAGUCC
rnacentral:rRNA from 1 species